UGCAAUGUAGUUUAUGAAAAAUUCUUAUUUUACACGUAAGAGAAUCCUUUUGGACUUUGUGA
rnacentral:tRNA from 1 species